AUUGAACGCUGGCGGCAGGCCUAACACAUGCAAGUCGAACGAGUGGAGGACGGGUGAGUAAUGUCUGGGAAAAUGCCUGAUGGAGGGGGAUAACUACUGGAAAAGGUAGCUAAUACCGCAUACCAUCAGCUGUGACCAGAUGGGAUUAGCGUGUUGGUGGGGUAACGGCUCACAAAGGCGACGCUCCCUAGCUGGUCUGCGAGGAUGACCAGCAAAACUGGAAAUGAGACAAGGUCCAGACGCCUACGGGAGGCAGCAGUGGGGAAUAUGGCACAAUGGGCGAAAGCCUGAUGCAGCCAUGCCGAGUGUAUGAAGAAGGCCUUUGGGUUGUAAAGGACUUUCAGCGGGGAGGCGGUACCCGCAGAAGAAGCACCGGCUAACUCCGUGCCAGCCGCCGCGGUAAAUUC
rnacentral:rRNA from 1 species